UACGAGUGGUGCAAGCGUUAUUCGGAAUCAUUGGGCGUAAAGGGUGUGUAGACGGUAUGCUAAGUCAGUUGUUUAAUUCUCCGGCCUAACCGGAGGCCAGCAGCAGAAACUGGUAUGCUAGAGGGUGGAAGAGAGGAGUGGAAUUCUCGGAGUAGCGGUAAAAUGCGUAGAUCUCGAGAGGAACACCAAUGGCGAAGGCAGCUUCUUGGUCCAUACCUGACGUUGAAACACGAAAGCGUGGGGAGCAAACAGG
rnacentral:rRNA from 1 species